UACCGAUCUCAGAUAUUGAGAUCAGAGAGAGGAAAAAGCUUGUUAUGCAGAUAUUGAAAGUGGGUUGUGGGGGUGGGAGUGCAAGUCAUCGAUGAUAGCGAAAGAGAAUUGUGCCAAUCGAUGUCUCUCUCCUCCUUGUUAUGAGCUCGUCUAUGAAAGUGAUCCGCUUGAGGAAGGAGAGAAAGAUUUCAGAAGAAGCCAGGAGUACAAGUACUGCAUGCACAAGUAA